rnacentral:rRNA from 1 species
GACGUAGGGCGCGAGCGUUGUCCGGAUUUAUUGGGCGUAAAGAGCUCGUAGGCGGCUUGUCGCGUCGACUGUGAAAUCCCGCGGCUCAACUGCGGGUCUGCAGCCGAUACGGGCAGGCGUAGAGUUCGGUAGGGGAGACUGGAAUUCCUGGUGUAGCGGUGGAAAUGACGCAGAUAUCAGGAGGAACACCGGUGGCGAAGGCGG